AGCUUUGCGCAGUGGUGGUAUCCUGGCCAAUGAGGUUUAUCCGAGGUAGGAUUAUUGCUAAUUAAAAAAAAAAAAAAAGGUAGAGAUCAAUAAGAAGUAAACAAAAAGACCUCUAAUGAUAGCACCCCAAAAUAUUGAAUCUCUCCAUUCAGAAUUUUUUCCAAUGUAAAUAUAUA
ensembl:snRNA U4 U4 spliceosomal RNA